rnacentral:rRNA from 1 species
GACGAACGCUGGCGGUGUGCUUAACACAUGCAAGUCGAACGGUAAGGCCCUUUCGGGGGUACACGAGUGGCGAACGGGUGAGUAACACGUGAGUAACCUGCCUUCAUCUCUGGGAUAACAGUCGGAAACGGUUGCUAAUACUGGAUAUGAGCUUGCAAGGCAUCUUGUGGGUUGGAAAGAUUUUUUUUGGUUGGGGAUGGACUCGCGGCCUAUCAGCUUGUUGGUGAGGUAGUGGCUCACCAAGGCUUCGACGGGUAGCCGGCCUGAGAGGGCGACCGGCCACAUUGGGACUGAGAUACGGCCCAAACUCCUACGGGAGGCAGCAGCGGGGAAUAUUGCACAAUGGACGGAAGUCUGAUGCAGCAACGCCGCGUGCGGGAUGACGGCCUUCGGGUUGUAAACCGCUUUCAAUUGUGACGAAGCUUUUUUGUGACGGUAGCAGUAGAAGAAGCACCGGCUAACUACGUG